rnacentral:rRNA from 1 species
AUUGAACGCUGGCGGCGGGCCUAACACAUGCAAGUCGAACGGUAGCACAGAGAGCUUGCUCUCGGGUGACGAGUGGCGGACGGGUGAGUAAUGUCUGGGAAACUGCCUGAUGGAGGGGGAUAACUACUGGAAACGGUAGCUAAUACCGCAUAACGUCGCAAGACCAAAGAGGGGGACCUUCGGGCCUCUUGCCAUCAGAUGUGCCCAGAUGGGAUUAGCUAGUAGGUGGGGUAACGGCUCACCUAGGCGACGAUCCCUAGCUGGUCUGAG